GAUCAAACAGUAUUUUAAGCAUGCGUUUCUGUGACCAUCAUCUUGUCCGGUUCACUCAGUAGGUUAAGAAGUGAUACAUAGACUAGUGAACUAGUAUUAUUUUUGGGGAAGGAUGAUUGAAUCAUAGCAGGGGUCAAACAGAAUGAUGCAGGAGGGUCAGAUGAGUGGAGACUAAUAGAUUCUUGAGUUUCUUGUUUCUGAUGUGUGAGGGAGGUCUUAUCGUGACACACAUCUGGGUACAUGGGGGAAAACAAAACUCAUUAUCUAAUAGAAUAUUGCUGUUGUGUGAGGUGUGACUGGUGGAUGAAUGUUUUGGGGAUUUACUGAUGCAUUUUUUUUUUUGGUACCACUUUGAACCUGCCAGUUUUGAUCUAUCAUUCUAAGAGAGUAUGCUUAGACAACUUCUAAAAAGAGGCCUUCACAUUUUUUGAUUUUUAACAGUGCACUGAGAUUUUUUGUUUGGCAAUUUUCUCUUUUUCAAGCAGGCCUGCAAUAUCGGGAUCGAAAGCGCUACACAACAUGUUGAACAAUCGCAAGUGAGCUUCUCCAAAAUUAAAAUGGGCUCGGGAGAAAGCCACUUAUUUGGGACAAUCAAAAAAACAAGUCCCUGUCAAAAAGGAUUCAGCGAGGUAAUCCAGUCUAAAUUCUUUUUUUUCUUUUUUGAAAUGACGUCAUUGCUGGCAGUAGAAACUUAUUGCGUCACGAGAGGUUCUACUGUCAGCAAAUAAAAAACGGGGACUGACUGGACUGACAAAUGCUUGACUGACUUGACAUCAGUAUGCAAGAUUGCACCUCCACCCCGAGUGACCAAAGGGUGGAUGUAUGUAUGUUUCUUUUUACAGGAGCAGAAAGAUGACAGCAACAGGUUGCAUGGGCUUUUGGGCCGUGCUGACUUAACCUUUUAAUUGCCACUUUCUGUGUCUUUGUGAAUUUACCAGCAGUGUGUUAUUCAUGACCUUGUAUUGUUUACAGUGCAGAGGUCACUGUGAGAAAGUGUGCAUACAGAUGUGUUGCGCUAACAUCUA
ensembl:lncRNA